rnacentral:rRNA from 1 species
AGGGAAUCUUCCGCAAUGGACGAAAGUCUGAUGGAGCAAUGCCGCGUGAGCGAAGAAGGUUUUCGGAUCGUAAAGCUCUGUUGUAAGGGAAGAACACGUACGGGAGUAACUGCCCGUACCUUGACGGUACCUUAUUAGAAAGCCACGGCUAACUACGUGCCAGCAGCCGCGGUAAUACGUAGGUGGCAAGCGUUGUCCGGAAUUAUUGGGCGUAAAGCGCGCGCAGGCGGCCUGUUAAGUCUGAUGUGAAAGCCCCCGGCUCAACCGGGGAAGGUCAUUGGAAACUGAUAGGCUUGAGUACAGAAGAGGAAAGCGGAAUUCCACGUGUAGCGGUGAAAUGCGUAGAGAUGUGGAGGAACACCAGUGGCGAAGGCGGCUUUCUGGUCUGUAACUGACGCUGAGGCGCGAAAGCGUGGGGAGCAAAC